CUUGGUCAUUUAGAGGAAGUAAGAGUCGUAACAAGGUUUCCGUAGGUGAACCUGCGGAAGGAUCAUUACAGUGUUCGCUGCCCUCUGGGUAGCAAACCUCACCCUUUGCGUAUUAUAUAUUUGUUGCUUUGGCACGCCGCCCUCUAGGCACCGGCUCCGGCUGGCUCGCGCGUGUCAGAGGACCUUAAACUCUGAAUGUUAGUGUCGUCUGAGUACUAUCUAAUAGUUAAAACUUUCAACAACGGAUCUCUUGGUUCUGGCAUCGAUGAAGAACGCAGCGAAAUGCGAUAAGUAAUGUGAAUUGCAGAAUUCAGUGAAUCAUCGAAUCUUUGAACGCACAUUGCGCCCGGUGGCAUUCCGCCGGGCAUGCCUGUUCGAGCGUCAUUUAAACCAAUCCAGCCUCGUGCUUGGGUCUUGGGCCUUUCGCCUCUGGGCGGGCCUCAAAAUCAGUGGCGGCGCCUCCUGGCUCUACGCGUAGUAAUACUCCUCGCUAUAGAUGUCUGGUGGUGUCCUGCCAAAACCCCCAUAUUUUUUAAGGUUGACCUCGGAUCAGGUAGGGAUACCCGCUGAACUUAAGCAUAUCAAUAAGCGGAGGA
rnacentral:rRNA from 1 species